GACGAACGCUGGCGGCGUGCUUAACACAUGCAAGUCGAACGGACAGGCCCUGCUUUUGUUGGGUGCUCGAUUGGCGAACGGGUGAGUAACACGUGAGUAACCUGCCCUUGACUUUGGGGUAACUUCAGGAAACUGGGGCUCAUACCGGAUAGGAGAUCCUGCUGCAUGGUGGGGGUUGGAAAGUUUCGGCGGUUGGGGAUGGACUCGCGGCUUAUCAGCUUGUUGGUGUGGUAGGGGCGGACCAAGGCUGUGACGGGUAGCCGGCCUGAGAGGGUGACCGGCGACAUUGGGACUGAGAUACGGCCCAGACUCCUACGGGAGGCAGCAGUGGGGAAUAUUGCACAAUGGGCGGAAGCCUGAUGCAGCAACGCCGCGUGCGGGAUGACGGCCUUCGGGUUGUAAACCGCUUUCGCCUGUGACGAAGCGUGAGUGACGGUAAUGGGUAAAGAAGCAACGGCUAACUACGUG
rnacentral:rRNA from 1 species